UACGUAGGGGGCAAGCGUUGUCCGGAUUUAUUGGGCGUAAAGAGCGUGUAGGCGGCCACACAGGUCCGCUGUGAAAACUCGAGGCUCAACCUCGAGCUGUCGGUGGAAACCGUGUGGCUAGAGUCCGGAAGAGGAGAGUGGAAUUCCCGGUGUAGCGGUGAAAUGCGCAGAUAUCGGGAAGAACACCCGUGGCGAAGGCGGCUAUCUGGACUGUGAUUGACGCUGAGGCGCGAAAGCGUGGGGAGCAAACAGG
rnacentral:rRNA from 1 species